GGUCCGCUGGCGUAAUGGCAGCGCGUCUGACUACGAUUCCAACUUUAGGAUUCAAGUAAUCAGGAGGUUCCAGGUUCGACCCCUGGGCGGAUCG
rnacentral:tRNA from 1 species